GAUGAACGCUAGCUACAGGCUUAACACAUGCAAGUCGAGGGGCAUCAGGAAGAAAGCUUGCUUUCUUUGCUGGCGACCGGCGCACGGGUGAGUAACACGUAUCCAACCUGCCCUUUACUCGGGGAUAGCCUGUCGAAAGAAAGAUUAAUACCCGAUAGCAUAAUGAUUCCGCAUGGUUUCAUUAUUAAAGGAUUCCGGUAAAGGAUGGGGAUGCGUUCCAUUAGGUUGUUGGUGAGGUAACGGCUCACCAAGCCUUCGAUGGAUAGGGGUUCUGAGAGGAAGGUCCCCCACAUUGGAACUGAGACACGGUCCAAACUCCUACGGGAGGCAGCAGUGAGGAAUAUUGGUCAAUGGGCGUUAGCCUGAACCAGCCAAGUAGCGUGAAGGAUGAAGGCUCUAUGGGUCGUAAACUUCUUUUAUAUAAGAAUAAAGUGCAGUAUGUAUACUGUUUUGUAUGUAUUAUAUGAAUAAGGAUCGGCUAACUCCGUGCCAGCCGCCGCCGUAA
rnacentral:rRNA from 1 species